rnacentral:rRNA from 1 species
AUUGAACGCUGGCGGCAUGCCUUACACAUGCAAGUCGAACGGCAGCACGGACUUCGGUCUGGUGGCGAGUGGCGAACGGGUGAGUAAUGUAUCGGAACGUACCUUUCAGUGGGGGAUAACGUAGCGAAAGUUACGCUAAUACCGCAUAUUCUGUGAGCAGGAAAGCAGGGGAUCGCAAGACCUUGCGCUGAUUGAGCGGCCGAUAUCAGAUUAGCUAGUUGGUGGGGUAAAGGCCUACCAAGGCGACGAUCUGUAGCGGGUCUGAGAGGAUGAUCCGCCACACUGGAACUGAGACACGGUCCAGACUCCUACGGGAGGCAGCAGUGGGGAAUUUUGGACAAUGGGGCAACCCUGAUCCAGCCAUGCCGCGUGAGUGAAGAAGGCCUUCGGGUUGUAAAGCUCUUUCGGCCGGGAAGAAAUCGCACAGGCUAAUACCCUGUGUGGAUGACGGUACCGGAAUAAGAAGCACCGGCUAACUACGUGCCAGCAGCCGCGGUAAUACGUAGGGUGCGAGCGUUAAUCGGAAUUACUGGGCGUAAAGCGUGCGCAGGCGGUUUCGUAAGACAGAGGUGAAAUCCCCGGGCUCAACCUGGGAACUGCCUUUGUGACUGCGAGGCUAGAGUACGGCAGAGGGGGGUGGAAUUCCACGUGUAGCAGUGAAAUGCGUAGAGAUGUGGAGGAACACCGAUGGCGAAAGCAGCCCCCUGGGCCGAUACUGACGCUCAUGCACGAAAGCGUGGGUAGCAAACAGGAUUAGAUACCCUGGUAGUCCACGCCCUAAACGAUGUCAACUAGGUGUUGGGUGGGUAAAACCAUUUAGUACCGUAGCUAACGCGUGAAGUUGACCGCCUGGGGAGUACGGCCGCAAGGUUAAAACUCAAAGGAAUUGACGGGGACCCGCACAAGCGGUGGAUGAUGUGGAUUAAUUCGAUGCAACGCGAAAAACCUUACCUACCCUUGACAUGUUCAGAAUCCCGGAGAGAUUUGGGAGUGCCCGAAAGGGAGCUGGAACACAGGUGCUGCAUGGCUGUCGUCAGCUCGUGUCGUGAGAUGUUGGGUUAAGUCCCGCAACGAGCGCAACCCUUGUCGUUAAUUGCCAUCAUUCGUUGGGCACUUUAACGAGACUGCCGGUGACAAACCGGAGGAAGGUGGGGAUGACGUCAAGUCCUCAUGGCCCUUAUGGGUAGGGCUUCACACGUCAUACAAUGGUCGGUACAGAGGGUUGCCAAGCCGCGAGGUGGAGCCAAUCCCAGAAAGCCGAUCGUAGUCCGGAUUGCAGGCUGCAACUCGCCUGCAUGAAGUCGGAAUCGCUAGUAAUCGCGGAUCAGCAUGUCGCGGUGAAUACGUUCCCGGGUCUUGUACACACCGCCCGUCACACCAUGGGAGCGGGUUCCGCCAGAAGUAGGUAGCCUAACCGCAAGGAGGGCGCUUACCACGGCGGGGUUCGUGACUGGGGUG